rnacentral:rRNA from 1 species
GACAGAGGGUGCAAACGUUGUUCGGAAUUACUGGGCGUAAAGGGCGCGUAGGCGGCUGAACAAGUCAAAGGUGAAAUCCCUCGGCUCAACUGAGGAACUGCCUUUGAAACUGUUCGGCUUGAGGCCGGGAGGGGGUAGCGGAAUUCCCAGUGUAGCGGUGAAAUGCGUAGAUAUUGGGAGGAACACCAGUGGCGAAGGCGGCUACCUGGACCGGUUCUGACGCUGAGGCGCGAAAGCGUGGGUAGCAAACAGG